rnacentral:tRNA from 1 species
GAGAGUAUAGCUCAGUGGUAGAGUGAGUGCUUAGCAUGCACAAGGUCCUGGGUUCAAUCCCCAGUACCACCA